rnacentral:rRNA from 1 species
UACGGAGGGUGCAAGCGUUAUCCGGAUUUACUGGGUUUAAAGGGUGCGUAGGCGGGCUUUUAAGUCAGUGGUGAAAACUUCGAGCUUAACUCGAAAACUGCCAUUGAUACUAUUAGUCUUGAAUUUAGUUGAGGUUGGCGGAAUGUGUCGUGUAGUGGUGAAAUGCUUAGAUAUGACACAGAACACCGAUUGCGAAGGCAGCUCACUAACCGAUCAUUGACGCUGAGGCACGAAAGCGUGGGGAUCAAACAGG